rnacentral:ncRNA from 1 species
AAAAAUGUAAAGAGUGGGAAGAGUACAGGGUAAUUGUUAUGCAGAGAUGGAAAUCAUUGGCUGAAAGUUUCCUUGAUGGAUUAUGCUGGAAGGUCGCCCAUGAACAGCUCCUUUGAACCAAAAGCAGUAAGAAGAUUGCUUUUAGUAGAGGGAAGCCGGUCGAUGUACCGUUAUCAGACUAAAUGAAGUGUGUAUACUUAUUUGCUUCUAGAAGCAUGUCCUUUUGAAGAUGGAUUUUAUAGUAUUGUCAAAUAACGUAUACAAAUAAAGGUGGUACCACGGAAAGCAUACCCUUUUCGUCCUUUUU